rnacentral:rRNA from 1 species
CCUACGGGAGGCUGCAAUUAGGAAUCUUGCGCAAUGGGCGAAAGCCUGACGCAGCGACGCCGCGUGACUGAUGAAGUCUUUCGGGAUGUAAAGGUCUUUUCUGUGGGAAGAAGGAUGUGACGGUACCACAGGAAUAAGCCCCGGCUAACUACGUGCCAGCAGCCGCGGUAAUACGUAGGGGGCGAGCGUUGUCCGAAUUUACUGGGCGUAAAUCGCGCGUAGGCGGGUUAUUAAGUUGGUGGUGAAAUUCCGAGGCUCAACUUCGGAACUGCCGCCAAAACUGGUAGCCUUGAGGGAUGGAGAGGAAAGUGGAAUUCCUGGUGUAGCGGUGAAAUGCGUAGAUAUCAGGAGGAACACCCAUGGCGAAGGCAGCUUUCUGGCCAUAUCCUGACGCUGAGGUACGAAAGCCAGGGGAGCGAACG